rnacentral:rRNA from 1 species
UGCGAAGGGGGCUAGCGUUGCUCGGAAUCACUGGGCGUAAAGGGUGCGUAGGCGGUUCUUUAAGUCAGGGGUGAAAUCCUGGAGCUCAACUCCAGAACUGCCUUUGAUACUGAAGAUCUUGAGUCCGGGAGAGGUGAGUGGAACUGCGAGUGUAGAGGUGAAAUUCGCAGAUAUUCGCAAGAACACCAGUGGCGAAGGCGGCUCACUGGCCCGGUACUGACGCUGAGGCACGAAAGCGUGGGGAGCAAACAGG